rnacentral:rRNA from 1 species
UGAGGAAUAUUGGACAAUGGGCGCAAGCCUGAUCCAGCCAUGCCGCGUGCAGGAUGACGGUCCUAUGAAUUGUAAACUGCUUUUGUACAGGAAGAAACAGUUCUACGUGUAGAACCUUGACGGUACUGUAAGAAUAAGGAUCGGCUAACUCCGUGCCAGCAGCCGCGGUAAUACGGAGGAUCCAAGCGUUAUCCGGAAUCAUUGGGUUUAAAGGGUCCGUAGGCGGUUAGAUAAGUCAGUGGUGAAAGCCCAUCGCUCAACGGUGGAACGGCCAUUGAUACUGUCUGACUUGAAUUAUUAGGAAGUAACUAGAAUAUGUAGUGUAGCGGUGAAAUGCUUAGAGAUUACAUGGAAUACCAAUUGCGAAGGCAGGUUACUACUAAUGGAUUGACGCUGAGGCACGAAAGCGUGGGGAGCGAACAGGAUUAGAUACCCAGGUAGUCCCUGAGCGGGCUGGCAAGGCGCAU